rnacentral:rRNA from 1 species
ACCCUGAUCCAGUCGGAACCGGAAGAGGGUGCGAAUAAAUGGACCAGUGUGAUUGGGGAUGAUACGGUAAUUGUGGUGAUCGGAAAUUGAUUAUUCUAUUGGAAAUUGAUUUAAUUAUUUAAUUAUUGGUAUUUGGGUAGUGAUUUACUCAGUAAAUCGGUACAGAAGUCUAUGUGUCUUCCAUGGUUGUAACGGGAAACGGAGAAUAAGGCAGCAGGCGCGUAAAUUACCCACUCUCAAUUCGAGGAGGUAGUGACUAUCAAUAACGAGACAGAUCUCUUUGAGGUCUGUCAUUGCAAUGAGCACAACUUAAAGACUUUAACGACGUCUAUGGGAGGGCAAGUCUGGUGCCAGCAGCCGCGGUAAUUCCAGCUCCCAACGUGUAUAUCGUCAUUGCUGCGGUUAAAAAGCUCGUAGUUGGAUCUUAGCUCAUGUCGGUAGUUCUCCAUGUGAGAUACUGCUCGGCUGAGCUGUUUCGCCGGUUUUCCUUAGUUUCGGCUGCGGUGACUGGUGUUGUAACUUUGAUUAAAUCAAUGUGAUUAAAACAGGCGUUUGCUUGAAUGCUUUAUCAUGGAAUAAUAGAAUAUGACUUCGGUCCAUUCUGUCGGUCUUGGGAUCGAAGUAAUGAUUAAAAGGAACAACUCGGGAGCAUCCGUAUCGCUGCGUGAGAGGUGAAAUUCUUGGACCGCAGCGAGACGACCUAUUGCGAAAGCAUUUUCCAAGAAUGUUUUCAUUAAUCAAGAACGAAAGCCAGAGGAUCCAAGGCGAUUAGAUACCGCCCUUGUUCUGACCGUAAACUAUGCCAACUAGCGAUCAGGUGGUGGUAGUUUAGCCCUGCCUGGGAGCUUCUCGGAAACGAAAGUCUUCGGGUUCCGGGGGUAGUAUGGUUGCAAAUCUGAAACUUAAAGGAAUUGACGGAAGGGCACCACCAGGAGUGGAGCCUGCGGCUUAAUUUGACUCAACACGGGAAAUCUCACCCGGACCGGACACUAUAAUGAUUGACAGAUUGAUAGUUCUUUCUUGAUUUGGUGGUUGGUGGUGCAUGGUCGUUCUUAGUUCGUGGAUUGAACUGUCUGGUUUAUUCCGAUAACGAACGAGACUCUAACCUGCUAACUAGUGAUGCGUUAAUUGAGACGUACCUACUUCUUACAGGGAUAAGCGGUGUUCAACCGCAUGAGAUUGAGUAAUAACAGGUCUGUGAUGCCCUUAGAUGUUCGGGGCUGCACGCGCGCUACACUGGAAAGUGCAGCAAGCGUUAUUAACCUUGGCCGAAAGGUCUGGGUAAUCUUUUGAAAGCUAUUCGUGUUUAGAAUAGAGGAUUGAAAUUAUUUCUCUUGAACGAGGAAUUUCCAGUAAGUAUGAGUCAUUAGCUCAUGCUGAUUACGUCCCUGCCCUUUGUACACACCGCCCGUCGCUGCCCGGGACUGAGUUGCCUCGAGUAAUGCGGGGACUUUCGGAGUUGGGUUUCCCUUCUCUGAUGGGAACCGCAUUAAUCGCAGUGGCUUGAACCGGGCAAAAGUCGUAAGAAGGUGCGAUUAGGAGAACCUGCAAGCG